rnacentral:lncRNA from 1 species
UCAAUAACAAAAACACCUGAAGUUGAAGUCUCUACUCCAUUCUUCCUAUCUUCCAGGUACUUUGGGUAGUUCCUCUUCCAGUGUUCGGUCUUACCGCAAUGGAAGCAGGUGCCUUCUUUUUCUAUGCCUCCACUAGGCUUCAAAGUGGCGAUAGUGGGUUUGGGUUUGACAACUUCCUUGCCUUUCCCUUUAUCAUGUUUGAGGAUAAUCCUCAUGUUUCGGUAUCAAUCCAGAAAAUUUAUCCCAGACAAUUUU